CUGGAUCCUAGAUCCUAGAUCCGAGAUCCUAGAGCCUAGAUCCUAGAUCCUAGAUCCUAGAUCCCAGAUCCUAGAUCCCAGAUCCUAGAUCCCAGAUCCUAGAUCCUAGAUCCUAGAU
ensembl:ncRNA T07H3.9 ncRNA